rnacentral:rRNA from 1 species
GAGCUUGCUCCACCGGAAAAAGAGGAGUGGCGAACGGGUGAGUAACACGUGGGUAACCUGCCCAUCAGAAGGGGAUAACACUUGGAAACAGGUGCUAAUACCGUAUAACAAUCGAAACCGCAUGGUUUUGAUUUGAAAGGCGCUUUCGGGUGUCGCUGAUGGAUGGACCCGCGGUGCAUUAGCUAGUUGGUGAGGUAACGGCUCACCAAGGCCACGAUGCAUAGCCGACCUGAGAGGGUGAUCGGCCACAUUGGGACUGAGACACGGCCCAAACUCCUACGGGAGGCAGCAGUAGGGAAUCUUCGGCAAUGGACGAAAGUCUGACCGAGCAACGCCGCGUGAGUGAAGAAGGUUUUCGGAUCGUAAAACUCUGUUGUUAGAGAAGAACAAGGAUGAGAGUAACUGUUCAUCCCUUGACGGUAUCUAACCAGAAAGCCACGGCUAACUACGUGCCAGCAGCCGCGGUAAUACGUAGGUGGCAAGCGUUGUCCGGAUUUAUUGGGCGUAAAGCGAGCGCAGGCGGUUUCUUAAGUCUGAUGUGAAAGCCCCCGGCUCAACCGGGGAGGGUCAUUGGAAACUGGGAGACUUGAGUGCAGAAGAGGAGAGUGGAAUUCCAUGUGUAGCGGUGAAAUGCGUAGAUAUAUGGAGGAACACCAGUGGCGAAGGCGGCUCUCUGGUCUGUAACUGACGCUGAGGCUCGAAAGCGUGGGGAGCAAACAGGAUUAGAUACCCUGGUAGUCCACGCCGUAAACGAUGAGUGCUAAGUGUUGGAGGGUUUCCGCCCUUCAGUGCUGCAGCUAACGCAUUAAGCACUCCGCCUGGGGAGUACGACCGCAAGGUUGAAACUCAAAGGAAUUGACGGGGGCCCGCACAAGCGGUGGAGCAUGUGGUUUAAUUCGAAGCAACGCGAAGAACCUUACCAGGUCUUGACAUCCUUUGACCACUCUAGAGAUAGAGCUUCCCCUUCGGGGGCAAAGUGACAGGUGGUGCAUGGUUGUCGUCAGCUCGUGUCGUGAGAUGUUGGGUUAAGUCCCGCAACGAGCGCAACCCUUAUUGUUAGUUGCCAUCAUUCAGUUGGGCACUCUAGCAAGACUGCCGGUGACAAACCGGAGGAAGGUGGGGAUGACGUCAAAUCAUCAUGCCCCUUAUGACCUGGGCUACACACGUGCUACAAUGGGAAGUACAACGAGUCGCGAAGUCGCGAGGCUAAGCUAAUCUCUUAAAGCUUCUCUCAGUUCGGAUUGCAGGCUGCAACUCGCCUGCAUGAAGCCGGAAUCGCUAGUAAUCGCGGAUCAGCACGCCGCGGUGAAUACGUUCCCGGGCCUUGUACACACCGCCCGUCACACCACGAGAGUUUGUAACACCCGAAGUCGGUGAGGUAACCUUUUGGAGCCAGCCGCCUAAGGUGGGAUAGAUGAUUGGGGUGAAGUCGUAACAAGGUAGCCGUAUCGGAAGGUGCGGCUGGAUCACCUCCUUUCUAAGGAA